CUACACGUUUGGCAGCACAUAUCCUAAAACUGGAAUGAUACAGAGAAGAUUAGCAUGGCCCCUCUGUAAGGAUGACAUGCAAAUUCGUGAAGCAUUUAUAUUAAAA
ensembl:snRNA U6 U6 spliceosomal RNA